AUCAUGCAAGGGCGCUGGAACAAGCAGAUACGACUUAUUUUCCAGUUGACCUCCCAUGUUGCAUUUCUGUUUAAAAACAGAACAUCCAAACUGCACUCCUACACACAGGUCACGACUUUUAUUUAAAAGGACUCCGGAGAAGAUGAAUAUAUUAGCGCCCUGUCGAUCUGCAUAGAAAGCACACUGUGUUGGAUUUUCUUGCGCUGUCUCACAUGACAUUAACACUCAAACAAAGACUGACCCAUUUACCUGUUUCAGUCACCCCCUUUUUUGUGUCCCCAUUUCUAAGCUAGCCCGAAGGCGCAAUGAGAAGGACAGCAGGCAACGAAACGGGCUGAGGACGACAAAGCGUGCCAAGGAAAGUAAUUGAGCGGUGAGGCCGUUGUACGCCACCAUGCUGUUCGUGUGACGCUUCCCGAGUAAAACUCACGCUCUCAAUCAGUGACUCACUUGGCAUCGCGUCGGGAGUACGUCACCUGGGAGGGACGGCGAGGACGGAGGACGGCAGAGGGUGUGAGGGGAAGAAAAUUGGAAGGAGCGACGUCUGCUGCAGUA